rnacentral:rRNA from 1 species
CAAGUCGAACGCGAAAGUUCCCUUCGGGGAGCGAGUAGAGUGGCGCACGGGUGAGUAACACGUAGGUAAUCUACCUUUGGAUUGGGAAUAACCACCGGAAACGGUGGCUAAUACCGAAUAAUGCAGCGGCACCUAAUGGUGACAGUUGUUAAAGCGGGGGAUCGCAAGACCUCGCGUCUGAAGAGGAGCCUGCGGCAGAUUAGCUAGUUGGUAAGGUAACGGCUUACCAAGGCGAUGAUCUGUAGCCGGCCUGAGAGGGCGGUCGGCCACACUGACACUGACAUACGGGUCAGACUCCUACGGGAGGCAGCAGUCGGGAAUUUUGGGCAAUGGGCGAAAGCCUGACCCAGCAACGCCGCGUGAAGGAUGAAAUCCUUCGGGAUGUAAACUUCGCAAGAACGGGAAGAAUAAGUGAGAGCUAAUAUCUCUUACGAUGACGGUACUGUUUGUAAGCUCCGGCUAACUCCGUGCCAGCAGCCGCGGUAAUACGGGGGGAGCAAGCGUUGUUCGGAUUUACUGGGCGUAAAGGGCGCGUAGGCGGCCACCGCAAGUCAAUUGUGAAAUCUCCGGGCUCAACCCGGAACGGUCAACUGAUACUGCGGGGCUAGAGUGCAGAAGGGGCAACUGGAAUUCUCGUGUAGCGGUGAAAUGCGUAGAUAUCGAGAGGAACACCUGCGGCGAAGGCGGGUUUGCUGGGCUGACACUGCCGCUGAC